UAACUUAGGGAGAAGGGGUGCCUACGAGAGUAGGCCGCAGUGAAUAGGCUCAAGCAACUGUUUAUCAAAAACACAGGUCUCUGCUAAAGCGUAAGCUGAUGUAUAGGGGCUGACGCCUGCCCGGUGCUGGAAGGUUAAGGGGAAUAGUUAGCGCAAGCGAAGCUAUGAACUUAAGCCCCAGUAAACGGCGGCCGUAACUAUAACGGUCCUAAGGUAGCGAAAUUCCUUGUCGGGUAAGUUCCGACCCGCACGAAUGGCGUAAUGAUUUGAGCACUGUCUCGGCAAUAAAUCCGGUGAAAUUGUAGUGCAAGUGAAGAUGCUUGCUACCCGCGGUUGGACGGAAAGACCCCGUAGAGCUUUACUGUAGCUUAGCAUUGAAUUUCGGUAUUGUCUGUACAGGAUAGGUGGGAGACUUAGAAGCGAGGGCGUCAGCUUUCGUGGAGUCGUCCUUGGGAUACCACCCUGACAGUACUGGAAUUCUAACUGGAGGCCAUGAAUCUGGUCACAGGACAUUGCUAGGUGGGCAGUUUGACUGGGGCGGGCGCCUCCUAAAAGGUAACGGAGGCGCCCAAAGGGUCCCUCAGCGCGGUCGGAAAUCGCGCGUAGAGUGCAAAGGCAGAAGGGAGCCUGACUGCGACACAUACAGGUGGAGCAGGGACGAAAGUCGGGCUUAGUGAUCCGGUGGUUCUGUAUGGAAGGGCCAUCGCUCAACGGAUAAAAGCUACCUCGGGGAUAACAGGCUGAUCUCCCCCAAGAGUCCAC
rnacentral:rRNA from 1 species